CGGGGUGAGUAACGCGUGGGUAACCUGCCUCAUACAGGGGGAUAACAGUUGGAAACGACUGCUAAUACCGCAUAAGCGCACGGGAUUGCAUGAUCCAGUGUGAAAAACUCCGGUGGUAUGAGAUGGACCCGCGUCUGAUUAGCCAGUUGGCGGGGUAGCGGCCCACCAAAGCGACGAUCAGUAGCCGACCUGAGAGGGUGACCGGCCACAUUGGGACUGAGACACGGCCCAA
rnacentral:rRNA from 1 species